rnacentral:rRNA from 1 species
UAAGAGGAUUAACCCCCACACUGGUACUGAGACACGGCCCAGACUCUUAGGGGAGGCAGCAGUGGGAAAUAUUGGGCAAUGGGGGAAAGCCUGACCCAGCAACGCCGCGUGAAGGAUGAAGGUCUUCGGAUUGUAAACUUCUUUGAUUAGGGAAGAAUUUUUGACCUACCUAAAGAACAAGUCACGGCUAACUACGUGCCAGCAGCCGCGGUAAUACGUAGGUGACAAGCGUUAUCCGGAUUUACUGGGUGUAAAGGGCGUGUAGGCGGUUUUGCAAGUCAGAUGUGAAAUUCCCAGGCUUAACCUGGGCGCUGCAUCUGAAACUGCAAGACUUGAGUACUGGAGAGGAUAGUGGAAUUCCUAGUGUAGCGGUAAAAUGCGCAGAUAUUAGGAGGAACACCGGUGGCGAAGGCGACUAUCUGGACAGUAACUGACGCUGAGGCGCGAAAGCGUGGGGAGCAAACAGGAUUAGAUACCCUGGUAGUCCACGCCGUAAACGAUCUGUACUAGGUGUAGGGGGUAUCGACUCCCCCUGUGCCGCAGUUAACACAUUAA